rnacentral:lncRNA from 1 species
UGUACCCAUUAAUAACUCCCAGACAGGCACGGUGGGUUACGUCUGUAAUACCAGCACUAUGGGAGGCUGAGGCGGGUGGAUCAUUUGAGGUCAGGAGUUCGAGACCAGCCUGGCUAACAUGGCGAAACCCUGUCUCUACUAAAAAUACAAAAAAUUAGCCGGGCACGGUGGUGCACGCCUGUAAUCCCAGCUACUAGGGACGCUGAAGCAGGAGAAUCGCUUGAACCCAGGAGGUGGAGGAGGCAGUGAGCUGAGAUCAUGCCUCUGCAUUAUAGCCUGGAAGACAGAGCGAGACUGUCUCAAAAACAAAGAAUCAAACAAACAAAGCACUCAAACACUCCCCAUCCUCCUUCCAUCCAGUCCCUGACAACUUCUAUUCUACUUUCUAUCCCUAUGAAUUUGCCUAUUAUAGGUACCUCAUACAGGUGGAAUAAUAUUUGUCCUUUUGUGUCUGGCAAUAAUUAUUUCACUUAGCAUAAUGCCCUCUAGGUUCAUCAGUGUUAUACUAUGUGUCAGAACAUCCUCCUUUUUAAGGCUGAAUAAUAUUCCGUUGUAUGUAUAGACCACAUUUUGUUUAUCCAUUCAUCUGUUGAUGGACACGUGCACUGCCUUUUGACUAUUGUGCAUAAUGCUGCUAUGGCUAUGGCUGUAUAAGUAUCUGUUCCUGUCCCUAUUUUCAAUUCUUCUGGGUAUAUAUCAAGAAGUGGAAUUUUUGGCUCAUAUAGUAAUUCUAUGUUUGACAUUUUGAGGAAAUGCCAUACUGUUUUCCACAGCAGCUAUAACAUUUUACAUUCUCACCAGCAAUGAACCAGGCAGGGUUCCAAUUCCUCUACAUCUUGUACAGAUCUCACAGUGGCUUUGAUUUGCAUUUCCCUAAUGACUAGUCAUAUUGAGCAUCUUUUCAUGUGGCUAAGCCUCUUUAAAUUUUUUGAGACAGGGUCUUACUCUGUUGCCUGGGCUGCAGUGUAGUGGCACAAUCUCAGCUCACUGCAACCUCCACCUCCCAGGUUCGAGCAAUUCUCCUGCCUCAGUCUCCCUAGUAGCUGGGAUUACAGGUGUCUGCCACUGCGCCCGACUAAUUUUUGUAUUUUUAGUAGAGACAAGGUUUCGCCAUGUUGGUUAAUCCAGAAUAAGGAAAAUCAAGGUAUAAACUUCUUACAGUGCUAAUUAUUUCCCAAACAAGUUUCUCUACAUAGAAAGCAACAUAUUUACCUACUGACAUGAAUACCGCACUCCUCACAGAGCUAUAGUCCACACUGCAAAUUAAGGAACUGCCUUAGCCUGAGGCGGGUGGGUCACUUGAGGUCAGGAGUUGGAGACCAGCCUGACCAACAUGGUGAAAUCCCAUGUCCACUAAAAAUAUUUUAAAAAUUAGCUGGGCAUGGUGAUGUAUGCCUGUAAUCCCAGCUACUUGGGAGGCUGAGGCAGAACAAUCACUUGAACCUGGGAGGCGGAGGUUGCAGUGAGCCGACAUUGCGCCAUUGUACUUCAGCCUGGGCAACAAGAGCAAAACUCCAUCUCAAAAAAAAAAAAAAAAGACUCUGAUUUACAAAUUAAACCUCCAACAAAAACCAGUUUCCUGACCCCCUAAACUGAAUAAUUGGAAUAUAAGACGGAGUCAUUAAAAGCAAAUGCCCAACAAUGCUCAAAAUCUUAAACUGACUAGACAUUUAAAAAACAAAAGAUCUAAAAUACAUAUACAUAUGGAUGUAUGUAUAUAUGUAUAUAAAUAUGCCCACCUGAGGACCACCAUAUAUGAACAGCACAGUAGGAUAUUUCUUUCCAGGCUGUAGAUCAUGAGGCUUGUAGAGCAUCCCAUACAAUGUAAAUCCAGUAGUACUUUCGAAAGAGAAAAUUUCUGGAGGAGUAUAGUCAGGAAGAGGACCUGUGAAUAGGUAACAUACCAGAGUCUACAAAAGAGUUCUUAUGGGAGUGCUACAAUCUGGGAACAAGAAACAAGAUAUUAAAAGUCAGCCCCGCCAACACAAACUGACCACCCCUCUUUCAGAUGAUAAGCUAGAAUUUAAGCAAGAGUAUAUUCAUCUUUAAAAACAAAAUUAGGCCGGGCGCAGUGGCUCAUGCCUGUAAUCCCAGCACUUUGGGAGGCCGAGGCAGGUGGAUCACGAGGUCAGGAGUUUGAGACCAUCCUGGCUAACACGGUGAAACCCCGCCUCUACUAAAAAUACAAAAAAUUAGCUGGGCAUGGUGGCGGGCGCCUGUAGCCCCAGCUACUCGGGAGGCUGAGGCAGGAGAAGGGUGUGAACCCGGGAGG